GGAAGCUACUCUGAGCGCGGAAGACAAGAGUUGUCGGUCUGCGAAUGUCGUUGGUCCACAAGAUCCACGAUGUUUGUUCUCUUAAUAAGCUGACGUAGUUAGCCGCGCAGAAGAUCACCAUGAUGUUUAGUUCUGUUAGUAAGCCGUGUAGCCGGACAUUUGGCGCGGCGCGUGUUUUCCUUCAAGACAUCUGUGCAAGGAAUCGUGUUAACCAUGCCGCUGCAAGCACAGCCACUGUUCCUCAAGUCGCACCUCGUAAGGACAUGCCUCCCAAAGACAUGCGACCUCUGUACAUGGAUGCCCAAGCAACAACUCCUUUGGAUCCAAGAGUUCUGGAUAGGAUGUUGCCAUAUAUGGUCACUUAUUAUGGAAAUCCUCAUUCACGAACUCAUGCCUAUGGGUGGGAGAGUGAAGCUGCUGUGGAACUGGCUCGAAAGCAUGUUGCUGACUUAAUCAAAGCAGAUCCUAAAGAGAUUGUGUUCACCAGUGGUGCCACAGAGUCUAACAACAUAGCAGUCAAGGGAGUGGCACAUUUCUACAAGAUUAAGAAAAAACAUGUUGUCACUACCCAGAUAGAGCACAAAUGUGUCUUGGACUCAUGCCGUGCUCUGCAAGCUGAAGGUUUUGAUGUGACAUAUUUACCAGUGCAGAAGAAUGGUCUUGUUGAUGUCAAGGACUUGGAGAAGGUACUGCGACCAGACACAUCCCUGGUAUCCAUAAUGUUGGUCAACAAUGAGAUUGGUGUGCGGCAGCCUAUUGAAGAAAUAGGAAAACUGUGUCGUUCCAAAAAUGUGUUUCUCCACACCGAUGCUGCGCAGGCAGUAGGAAAGCUGCCCAUUGAUGUCAAUGCCAUGAACAUUGACCUCAUGUCCAUUAGUGGCCACAAGCUCUAUGGGCCUAAAGGUGUAGGAGCAUUGUACGUUCGGCGAAGACCUCGUGUGCGGGUGGAAGCUAUACAGAGUGGAGGUGGUCAGGAGAGGGGAGUGCGCAGUGGCACAGUACCUACACCUCUUGUAGUGGGACUGGGUGCCGCAUGUCACCUGGCUGCAAAAGAGAUGGAUUAUGAUGCCAAGCGCAUUUCCCAGAUGUCAAAGCGACUUGUUGACCGCAUCAUGGCUGAGUGCUCCCAUGUUGUGCGUAAUGGGGACCAAGACCAUAUGUAUCCAGGUUGUGUAAAUCUGUCAUUUGCAUAUGUGGAGGGUGAAAGUCUGCUGAUGGCACUCAAAGAUGUGGCUUUAUCAUCUGGAAGUGCCUGCACCUCAGCUUCACUGGAGCCAUCGUACGUGCUGCGUGCUAUUGGGGCCGAUGAAGACUUGGCUCACUCUUCCAUUAGUGUAAGGACUCAGAGGGAUUAUGUACUUAUGCUGAUGAUGCUAUUAUCUGGUGACACCAAGAUUUGGCAUUGGACGCUUCACCACAGAAGAAGAGAUUGAUUACACAGCAGAAAAAUGCAUCCAGCAUGUCAAGCGGUUGAGGGAGAUGAGUCCCUUGUGGGAAAUGGUGCAGGAAGGAGUAGAUCUGAAGACUAUCAAGUGGACUCAGCACUAGACAGACAGGAGUGAGCAGACUUCACAAGAUGAGCAGCAGUUGGAGGAGCUGCAUGUGAUUAUGGAGUUGUAGGACCUGUUAUGGUGCUGCUCACAAUUGUUAGAGACUCUACAACAUUAGGAAUUUUUUAAUUCAACACUUUUCUUGCUGUCUUGCCAUGUGGAACCAUGUGCUGGAGAGGGUUUAUGUGGGAAUGAGAAUAAGCUUACUUACACAACUUGGUAGCUUCCAAAAUAGGACCUUGAAAUGGGUUAGGGUUGACCAUAAUGUUGACAUUGGUUAACUAUGUUGUUAUGAGUUAGGGUUAUAUACCUAGUGAUGAUACUCUGAAACCUUGAACAUUAUUUUUCUUCACUUCUGCACUCAUAAAUAGUAACACAAACCAAUUGUUUUGAUCUUUUGGAUUUCAUGAUACUUUUUUGAGUCAUUUAACAGUACUAGAGUUUAAAUAUUACUGAAGUAAUACACCCUCACCCAAAAUGUUAAUUCUGAGUAAGCUAAAUUAACUUAUCGCUGGCCAUUACAACUCAUUAGUACAUUUAAAGUACAAUGCAAGAAUGAAAGUUUGAAAUCUUGUACUUAGCAGCGUCUUUGUUGUCUUACACUUAAUUUUUUUGUUUGAUGACAGUACAGGGUCAAGAGAGAAUACUCUUACAAAACAUGACAUUCAGUGAAACUAUUUCACAAGGUACCUGAUACUGUAGCAUAAGAUACAUUUUAUAUUUCUUGCUGAGACCUUUUGUGAAUUUGUAUUGAUACAAAAUGUUUACCAAAAUACUGUGCCAAUGCUGGUUGGUGUCUUCUCAAAGUUAACUCCUGGUACCAUCAAAUGUGUAUUUUUGGGGCUGUUUUUUUAUUAUUUUCUUUUUCAUUUUCCUUUUUGCCUUUUUAUGUAGCAUUAGAUCCUCAGCAUGUGAAGGAGAUGUCUCAUUUUGUGUCUGUGUGGGGUGGGAGUUCUUGUAAGUAGCAGUUUUAGUAAAGCUAAUAAGUAAUUGUAAUAGAUCAGUAAAUCUGUAUUUUCAUUUUCUAUCCCUCUUCUCUUUUUUUUUUUCUUAUGUGUAGUCAGCAGGCAUCAUCAUUACAAUGCAGUGGCAGUCUCACAUUUAUUCCACAAAAUCCACACCCAUAUUCACACAUGCAUACAGUAUUAGUAUGAAAACUAAGACAGUUUAGUUUAUCACCUUUCACAACCCCUAAGUAUUUGAACUGAAAAGCAAUUUUCAUUGGUCCAUUGUUGAUGGUAACCUGCUGUACUGUCAGUCUUUUCCUGAUGACAUUCAAUACUGUUUCAUUACUCACAUUCAAUUCUAAAUAAUUGUUUUCGCACCAAGUGACAAAUGGGUCUAUAUUAGGUUAGUAUUCAGAAGCUUCAUUAUGAGAGAUGCACCCCAUGAAGGCAGUCAUCAGAGAACUGAUGAAAAUGAUAGAAAUGUUUUAAAGUCUAUGGGCUUAUUUGUGUUAUAUUUUGAAGCCCAUGGGCUGAUGUGUAUGAUGUGAGUAAAAAGGUGAUUGUAUAAUUCCUUGAAGUGUCCUAGUGAAUGUAUGGAUGGUGCUGGAAGAAAUUGCAAGAAAAAGAUGCUAUAAUGUUUUGUUGGUCUUGUUUUGCACAGAAAUCAAGAAGUGCUCCAAAUAUUUAAAAAUUGGUACAUGCUCAACAUUUUUUUAUUAUUUUUAAAUGUUCAAAUUCCAGGCUUAUUUUCUUAAAUAUAGCAAGAGUUGUGUGUUUGGUUGUGAGCUAUAAUAAAGGAAAUCUUCAGUAAACAAAGGCUGAUUACUAAACUUUAGUAAUUCAUUCCACACUUUUCUUUUUUUCUUGCUAACUCUCAGUAUUCAAUUUGAUUGUGUUAUUCAGGAGCUUUUUAUUUCACUUAUGAAAAGGAGGCUAUCAAAAUCUGUACUGUUAGCAUGGUAUGGUAUGGCGUGAACAAGAUAACCAACAAUGUUGUCAUUAUUUUUAUUAACUCAAAAAUUUACUAAGUGUGGAGUUUUCAACAGCAAACACUAACAACCAAUGAACAAGUGCAAAACAUUAAAGUGUGUAUCUUAGUAUCUUAGAUUUGUGAAAAAUCAGUGUAAUAGUUAAAAGUGUGCUAGUUAUCACAUAUAAAACAAAUAUUUGUUUUAGGGAUAGAUAAUAUCAACAGUGGUCUGUUUGCACUGUAGUACAUGUAGAGGAAUAUAACCAGCAGAGGAAUGCUGUCACAGCGAUGUAAUUGCAUGAAUUCUCUUUCAGAGUUUUAGUGCAGUCAGUGAGUGUUAAGGUAUGCCAUAGGAUUUUGAUAUGGUAAACAAUCGAUAAAUGAGUGUAGAUGUGUUCUACAUGGAUAGAGUCAGGUUUAUUCCUUCAUGAAAAACUAAAGACCAGCACAUUUUCAGCAAUAGAGAUAAUAGAAUUAAGUUGAAAAUAGUUUUUUGUUUUUGGUAACGUGUCGUCAGCUUUCUUUUCAUUAUGAGCCAUUGUUAUUUCUCUACACUCCAGUUCAGUCUAUAAAAGUUAUUGUCUUAUGGUUUAAUAAGUUUGAAAUUGCUGCAGUUUAAUCAGCCAAUAAAGGUCUGAUUAUUCAGUUUGACUGAGGCAUCAAAUGAUAUGUACUUUUUGGUUAGCUUUUUUUAGCUCCUCAUUGCUUAGGACACUUUAUCAAGUACAAAAGUUUGACACCAUGUGCAGAAUUCCACUCGGAAAUGAUAUGUUAUUGAUAUAUAUAUAUUACACACAAUAUGUAAGUAUGCAAGUAUUAUUGAGAACAUGGUGCAUUUCUUUAGACACAGUGUCCAAGCGUGCAAACAUUGUUGAGAACAUGGUGUGCUUCUUUCACUCCCUUAGAGGCAGCAUGGUGGAUCAGGCGGUGUGACUCUCUGGGGAUAGAAACAGAAGUAUAGAAUGUAAUCAUUGUGUCCAGACAGUUAAAUUGAAACACUGAUCUUAUAGGGUCUUAAUCAUUUUGUCAUUAUACCCUCUUGCUUACCAUGCUUACGUUGGAGUCACACCUGCUGAGGACUUACCUUUUGUAAAAGGUUAAAACAAAGGUGUCAAGGCACUAACCCUGGCUUAAGGUCAGUCUGGUAGCCUUUCAAGUGACCAAUAGCCAAAUUAUAAGCAGCAUGUGGAUGUCCCUGGUCAGCAGCUUUCCUGCAAACCAUGCCUGAGGUUAUGAUUUUUUAUAAAUUGUCAGAUCCCAAAAUGUCAAAACUUUUAGGUGACAAUAAAUCUGUAUGACAACAUC